GUACUCCAGCCCGGCCUUAAACGCCGCCGUGGUUUGUUGUUGAAUGUGGCGCUAAAGUCAAGUGACGACGCUAUAAAGACCGUUGCCGUGCUGGCGUCCCUCCCGUACCCCUCCUACCAGUUCCUACGGCCACUUGGCCAGUGUGAAUGCAAAUGG